AGUCUUCCAAAAUUCAUUCCUCUCUCACUCGCUCUCUUAUCUAUAAAAUAAAAAGUUCAUUCCACUUCCUUUUUGCUUCGUAUCAUCAUCAUCUCCUCACACUUGGAUUUAGCCAAUUCCAAAUCAGACUCUCUUCUUCUCUGCAGAUCAUAAUUCAUAAACAACUUGGCAUGUUCAAUUGAUCGUUUCCUUGUGGUGGAUUAUGUUACCAGGGAUCUUUGUUUCCUCUGUGUCUGUUCAUCGACAAAUGGCACAUAUCCUUCUUCUUGAUCUCUUUCAUUUAUUAAGAUUCGUUUUACCUUUUAGUAUUAUUAUUAUUACACUACAUAGGGAGAAUUUUUCGGUUUCUUUUUUUAUUAUUUUUAAUUUUCUGUGAUAUUAUAUACUAUUUGUUUGGCUUUAAUUGAAGCAAACGUGGAAACCAGAGAGAACGUGAUCGUGAAAGAGCUCAAGCAAGAGGUAAUCAUAAGCCUAAACAACCUAAGAACGAUGGAUUGACUCCUGAACAACGUCGUGAAAGAGACGCAAGAGCAUUGCAAGAGAAGGCAGCUAGAAAGGCAGGACAAUCAAUGGGUGGAGGGAACCAUGACCAUGCCCUUCGUGUUGGUGGUAAAAUUAAGAAAUAAGACGAUGGUCAUGCAGUAGUAGGGGUUUAUGCGGUAUUGUAAUUGUAUGUUAUUUAUUUGUUGACCAUCGAAUUAAUUCUACAUCGUGUGGGUGGGAGGUUUUCAACAAUUGUGUUAAGUCUUCAAGUGUGAUUCUUGUCUUAGCAUAUGAUGUUGGCUUUUAAACUUUUUGUUAUACGUCUUAAUUAUAUCCAAUGGAAUGUGUUGAUGUUUCGUUCUU